rnacentral:lncRNA from 1 species
UUUGCAUUUCAGAGCAGCAGGUCAAGCGGUGCCUGUGGCUAAUGAGAAGAUUCACUUUCAAUUGAAAUACCCCUAAACUUACUAGCUGCUUCCUGGAACACAGGUGGUUUUAGAUUCUGUGAAAAGUACCUUGUGGAUUGAAGGUUGGGGGAAGAAACGUUCAGAGGACUUUCUUCAUGCCCUGUCGCUGAUUCCCCACUGUGGGAGCAGGUGGGACACUGGGAUGCUGGGAAAGGAAUGGAACCUGCAUCGCUCAGCCUGUCCCUCGUGCUGUAUGCAUGGACCUGACCUGUCUAGGCUUCUGCAUCCUCCAGGCCUCAGCUCCAGGCUGACCCAGCUCCUGCCCAGGGAGAACUUCAAUAGUCCAGCUGCUCGGCUGAGUGGGUGGGUUAUUUCAAAGCAGGGGAGUGGGAAUAGGAAGCCCACUUGGGUUUUUGGGUCCUAGCCAUAUCCUCCG